UACGAAGGGUGCAAACGUUGCUCGGAAUUAUUGGGCGUAAAGCGCACGUAGGCGGCAAUUCAAGUCACUUGUGAAAUCUCCGGGCUUAACUCGGAACGGUCAAGUGAUACUGCUUUGCUAGAGUGCGGAAGGGGCAAUCGGAAUUCUCGGUGUAGCGGUGAAAUGCGUAGAUAUCGAGAGGAACACCAGUGGCGAAGGCGACUUCCUGGCCUGUUCUUGACGCUGAGGCGCGAAAGCUAGGGUAGCAAACAGG
rnacentral:rRNA from 1 species